CAUAGUUCGACAUUCCCUAUACGUAUAUAUAUAUAUAUAUAUAUAUAUAUAUAUACAUACAUACAUACAUACAUACAUACAUACAUACAUAAGAAUAUAAAAACAACCCGAAGCACCAACUAUCACCGAAUUAUGUACAAUACGAUACUUGUAAACUGUUAUAAUAAUAAUAAUAAUAAUAAUAAUAAUAAUAAUAAUAAAAUAAUAACGCGUAGCGCGUGUAAUAAUAUUAAUAUUAUAAUAUUUAUUUAAUGUUUAAAAAUGUCUAUCCUCGUACAGAGAAUUCGCGUUCGGGACGUAGCGUUCGAGACGGAUAACACGUUUAGUAUAAUAUACAUAGGUACCGCGGUUACACGAUUAUAGGACAGUUGGUUGCGCUACAUCUGUAAUCGCGGUAGGUGAAUAGAACGUCAACAAUAAGAUAAUAUAUAUAAGAUAAUAAGAUCAACACUUGAUAAGCGGCCUACACGCCUUCGGUUUUCAGUUAAAACUUAACUGCGCGAACUCGCGAGUGGUCGCCCAAAGGCUGUCGGUGCCACUCCGACGAUUGACUUUACCGCGAACCGCGAUACAAGCACAGGGAUAAAAACACCGUCCGUACGUGAAUUAAAAAGAUACAAUGCGCUAAUAUAUCACUUAUCAUAAUAGCAUGUUAUUACUAUAGUUGCACUUUUACACCCCUAAUUGUACCACGGCGCUAUGGCCAGGGAAGCGAAAGGGUCGAACCAUUCGUGUACGCUAUCAGAUAUGCCAAUCCAGCAUAUCUUAUCCGUGACUGUACACUCGUCAUCUUUUCCAAUUUAGUCCGAUGACUGCCACAACAUAACUGUUAGAACCAUGUCCAAAAACGGUAAUAAUACAAUAUAUUAUAAUUGAGUUUAAUUUAAUUUCCGUUCAGUUAAACUCGCCUUUAGUUUUUGGCGGUCCCCUCUUGAAAUAUACCGUCUUCUUCUACUGACAUCGUAUAUCUGUGGUACCUAUGUUCUCUAACAAGCGUUUUCACCCAUCUCUGUCUCGAGCUACCUCUCUCUGAUUUUCAUUCCCCAAACUCUUUAAAUCCUCUAUUCCAUCACUUAUAUUGUCCUUCAACCGAACUCAAAUAUCCCAUACUUCAUAUGAUAUCAUACCAUGCAGAUUCAACAUAUCCCUCUCCAAAUAUCCCAUUAAUAUUUUUCAAAAAUCAUUAUAAACCUUAUACAAAUAAUAUUGUUGUCAAUCUAUACAAAUAAUUUUGUUAGAAAUAAAAUUGACAUCAACGAAAGAUUAUGUAAUAACUUCAAUUAUAAUUGGAUUAUAUUGUUUUUAUUAUGAUCAAUUUUAUUUGUAAUAAAUUUAUUUCAUAUAAACUGAUAAAAAGUGAAAUUUUAUAAUAUACCUUUAUGAGCGUACAGUGAUUGUUUUUUUUUUUUUUUUUUUUUUAAUAUGAACCGGAUAUUUUGGGAGUUAUUUUACUGUUAUUUCGCCUACAUGCGAUAGGGCCAACUUAGGCGUUUGUUAUCAGUUAAGUUUGUACUGAAAACUAGGUAAGUCGCUUUUUACAAUUGGCUCAAAAGCUUAUUUACAUUCGACGUUCGUGGUAUUCAAUACGCCGCAUAUAUAUAUAUAUAUAUUUUAUAUUAUUAAAUUUGCCAUUUUAAGUAGUUUUAGGUCGAGAAUAAUAUUUGAAAAAAAAAAAUGUUUUUUAAUUUUUUAAAUACAUAUAUAGUUAAAAUAUAAUCAUAACGAUUAUAAAUUGAUUGUUAUGCCAUGUAAAAUUAUAUAUAGGUAUACAAAAAUUAUUAUAUUUAAUGCGAUAUAUUGUGUAUAUUAUUAUGUACAUUAAUUUGUUAGUGUAUACUGUGUAUGAUUAAUACGUAUUUCUGUUUUCGCAACACUUUUAUGUAAAAUUUAGAUUGCAUUUAUGUCUAAUUUAUUAUUAUAUAUCAUAUACCAUACCAAUAUCGUUAUUUUUUUUUCUCUUAGCCGUAACUUUGUGUUACUCGGUUGGCGUAUACUCACGAUGUCCUAUGUAAAAAAUAAAAAGGUUAGAAAAAAAUACUUAUGUACUUGACGAUUUUUUAUGGCAAAAAAAUUACGUUCAACCCGUUAAACUGGGUAAGAAAUAACAAAUAAUUGGCUAAUGAAUAAUUAUGUUCGUAUUACAAUAUCCUAAAACGAUAUGCGCAGUAAAAACGUGAAUCGUCUUUAUGUUGGACAUUGUCGCUGCAUCAUCCGAGUAAUGCAAUACGACUUUUAUAUAUUACAAAAAAUAAUAAUUAUAAUGUUGUGUAAAGACUUAAUUGUAAAAAAAUAUAUAUAUAUAUAUAAUUAUUAAUGAUAACGUUCAUAUUAUAUAGUUAUUCGCCGAGAAAGGAC